rnacentral:rRNA from 1 species
UACGAAGGGGGCUAGCGUUGCUCGGAAUUACUGGGCGUAAAGCGCACGUAGGCGGCUUUCUAAGUCGGGGGUGAAAUCCUGGAGCUCAACUCCAGAACUGCCUUCGAUACUGGAGAGCUCGAGUCCGGGAGAGGUGAGUGGAACUGCGAGUGUAGAGGUGAAAUUCGGUAGAUAUUCGCAAGAACACCAGUGGCGAAAGGCGGCUCACUGGCCCGGGUACUGACGC